CAAUAGCGUAUAUUAAAGUUGUUGCAGUUAAAGAGCUCGUAGUUGGACUUCUGGGAGGGCGCCAAUGUCCGCUGUUGCGAGUGCAGCGGCUCCCUUCCAUCCUUCUGUUAACGUUUCUUGGUAUUCAGUUACUGGUUUCGGGCUCAGAUAUUUUACCUUGAGAAAAUUAGAGUGUUUCAGGCAGGCUUGCGCCGGAAUACAUUAGCAUGGAAUAAUAGAAUAGGACUUUAGUCUCUCUUGUUGGUUUAGGGACUGAAGUAAUGAUUAAUAGGGAUAGUUGGGGGCAUUAGUAUUUAAUUGUCAGAGGUAAAAUUCUCGGAUUUGUUAAAGACUAACUUAUGCGAAAGCAUUUGCCAAGGAUGUUUUCAUUAA
rnacentral:rRNA from 1 species